rnacentral:lncRNA from 1 species
UCAUCGACACGGUCUGGUGGAGACACAUCAGGAUGAUAUUUUCUUGCCAUUUGUUUAUAAGCUUUCUUUAUGUCAGAAAUUGUCCCACUCUCUUCAAUUCCCAACACAUUGUAGAAACUCUCUGUCUUAUACAACGCCUUAAAACUGGACCUGAAAUGGGCUCUGGAAGUUCUUCCCCAUGGAAUUUUGAUUGGAAUUCUGGAAUUUGCCAACUGGGAACAAAAGGAAAUGUUAGAAUAACAUUUAGGGAUGCGAUUUCUUGUUUGUCUGUUGGGUGUUGAACAGAAAUGAAACCGGGUUUCGAAACCUGAAACCACUGCACAGCUCAUUCUUUUGCUUUUCUUUUUCGAGAUUUUAGGUUUGCCUCUACAGUUUUCUACUUCAAUGAUUCCUUGCCUUUGAAUGUAUCUCUCCCAAAAAGUGCAUAUAUAUAUUUGUAAAUUCAGAAUUUGGCGUAUAUAUUUCUGGGUGAGAUGUUUCCAAAAAAGUAAGAACGAAUUUUCCUUUUUUUUGUUUUUUAUUUCUUUUGAGUGUUUGGUCCAUAGACUCCCGACGGAAAGCUUUCGGGUUUUCCCGUUACGUUGCUUUCACAUUUUAGGGUUAUCGAUUUUUCCAACAAAAUUUGACCGCAUUUUCUAAAACUAAUUUUUAACUACAUAUCUUCCAAUAACGUAAAUUUGCACGUAAUAUUUUUACUUUUUGAAUAUCUAUUUAUUUGAUAAUAAUUUAUGAAAUGUAUAAUUCAAAAUUUAUAAAACUAGUCAAAAUUGAACUUGCAUUGCACGUUAUUCUAAAAUACUUUAUAAAUAAUGUAAAAGUAAUAUUUGAUAUCAAUUUGUUGGCGAAUUUGAUGAAUCUGACGAAUUAAAGAAAAUAAAAUUUAGUAUAGAAAUUUAAGAAAAGACAAUUGUACUCUCAAAACACAAUUUCUAUUAUUCAAAUUUUUUGUAAUAAUGAAAUAUUAUAAAUGAGCAAUAUUUUUAUAUUACAUUUGAUACAUAAAAAUUAAUUGUUAAUACAUAAACUUAAACACCCAUUAAAAUUUCUAGGCACAUGAAUUAGAAUAAAUUCAUCUAUAAUAAUUCUAGAUUCAUAAAAUUCAAGAUUCAUCAACUAGAAAUUCAUUGAAUUUAUGUUAAUGUGAAUGUAAUUAAUUAAGAAUUAAUAACACAAAUUUCAUAAAUGAUAAUAAUUAUUCAGUAUUUAUCACAUAUCGAAAAACGAAAAGUAAGGUAUUAUUUAAAUAAUUAAAUUAUAGGAGGGUUAAGAUCGUCCAAAAAAUGAUUCUCACUUGAUGUGAUAUUUUUUAUAUAUUAUAGAUUAUGAAUUUCAUAAAAUAUAUAACUAAAAAUAAGAUUUUUCAUUUUAACGUAAAUUCUUCUUUUAACUAAAAAAUCACCGUCAAGCCCAUCGGUUGUCCCAAGGCAGAGCUCCCAGUUUGACGUCGGCCACCCAAAAGUUUAUGGUUUUCACAAGUGCCUGGUUACAAGGGGCAACGUGACAGUUAUUUGAUUCAAAAUACAAGAUAUUGUUUAUUUCUUAAAUCUUAUAUUUUCUUAAAUUCAUUUUCAAUUUCACAUUUAGCCCCUGUUUGGCUUCCAUUCUUUCCUCAUUAAAAUGAAAAAUAUGAUCGUUAUCCAUUACAUCAAACCACCAAAUUUGAAUUUCUAUUUAUUGUGUGGGGUCUGUAAUAACUAUAUUUUUCAUUCUCAUUCUUCCAAAAAUGAGAAACAAACGGAGGCUUAAUGUGAUUCACAAUUUUUAUUAACUUUUUAAUUAUACAUUUCAUUAAGUAUUGUGAAUUUGUGAGUUGUAAGUAUCUCAAAUAAAUACAUAUAAAAAUAAAAAUAUUAAUAAUAAAGGGUAAGUAGAAUAUUUGUGUCUAGUCUAGUAGUAAGCACGUUGAUUCCAAAACAUCCACGAUCGUGAGUUGCGUGGUCAGUGUGUCACAAACGAGACAGAGCAUCUUAAUUUUGUAUAUCAUGUUGAGAUAGCGUCUCCCUUUAAUCCCGAUGCAAUGAGAUGGUGAAGAUGGUCAAGAUCUCCAUAUUGGAAGGGUGAUUUGGGUAAAAAUUGUGUUGGUGUUUGCUUCUUUCAUUGCAAGGUACACAGAUUCUACUAGCGUAUGAUAAGGAACACGAUUCCACAUUCUAUUCCAUAUUCUAAUAAAGGUGGUUCUAAUGAUGAUUGUAGUAUAUGAUACGGAGCACGAUUCCAUAUUCUUGAGGAAUGUCCGAGGAAUUCUCCAUAAAUUCUCAUUUUUAUUAAUUAUAAUGGUAAUUCCAUUGGGAAAAUAUUUAUUCUAAACUAGCUAAAAGAAAAAGGCACCCGGACUGGUUGGUCAAAACUUCCUAACCGAACCGUACCCGAAAAGAAUUAAACUGAACCGGGCAAUUAUUUUUAAGUUAAUCGAAAAUCAACGGAUUUGAUUCGAUUCUCGACUAUAGACUAAGAACUGAAUAAUCGAAUAAGAAUCAAAUCUCCCCAAUUUUUUAAUUUUUAUAUUAAAUGAGCCAAAUUAUUUUAAAUUUUUCUAAAUAAUUUUGCCAACUAAUUAAUUGAGUCCAAAAAGAUCAUUUUCCUAUAUUUAUUUGUCAACUAAUUAAUUUAGCCCAAAUCCAAAUUAUAAUAUUUCUAGAUUUGAAGGCUUGAAGCAAAUCAAUGAGAUGAAAUCAUCAAAUUUUAUUAUUUACCUUUUAGUAAUUUGUACUCCCUUCGUCUAGUUUAUAUAGGUUUUUUUUUUUUUUUUUUCACAUAGAUUAAGAAAUCUUAUUAAAUGUCAUUGAAAAAGCAAAUUUUGCCAAAAAUUUUUUUAGUUUACCCUUAUUUAUAUCGUAAGUGAAAAAAAUUACAUAUAACUUGACAAAUUAAGUAAUUGUAUAUUAGUAAACGAACAAAACAAAACAUUCUCAAUAAAGAAACAAAAUUAUAUAAUUGGGAAAAGAAAAUAAGAAAAUGUAGCCUAUAUAAAUGUGACGAAAGGAGUAUACAUUGAUGAAUAAAUCUUAUUAGACAACUUGUUAUUUGUAUAAUUUUAAAUUGGACUAUGUUAUUUUAUAAUAGAUAAGAUUGAACAUAUUAUUAGUUGAAUUAAUGUAGUGUUGUUGUAAAUAUUAAAAAAAUAAUAAUUACGAUACAAAACCCAAAAACCAAACCAAACCAAACCAACCCGUUUGGUUCCAAAAUUAAAUUUGGAUCCGACAGCUUCACUUAUUAAAUAUUCAAAAAUUCGGGUUUAAUUCGAUUCUCUUUAAAACUGAAUCGAAUCGGACAACGUCUAGCUCUAAGUAAAGGUUUCCAUUUGCAUACUGUGCAAUUUUCACAAUUUGAAAAGGCAAGGAAUUUGGUAAUAAUUCCUUGGCAAAUGAAAUUUGGAAGAGAAAUUAGAUCAAAUUGUAGUACUAGUUGUCCUAUAUAUAAUUAGCAUUAUCAAUCAAUCUGACCUCAAAGAAACCAUGGAAUCCAAACUUAGAGAUCUCACCUACCUACCUCGUGGUCAAAUUGCGGUGUGGAAAUUUCCCUACAAGUGUGUACUAGUAGGGAUUGGUUAGGAUAGCCUCCUCCAAAUCAAUCAACUUAAUUGUCAGCUCACCCAUAUGUAUCCUUGUUGAUAACGAAUCCAAUAUAAUCAAUAGUAAUUAUGUUUACAAUAAAAUCUCAAUACUCUCAACUAAGAUUUAAAACUUUCAAAAUGUUGCUUGAAUGUUAUGUUAUCAGUACAAGUCGUAGCUUAUAUAUAUAAAACCCUAGAAACUAAGUUGAAGAUAAAUAGGAAUCCAAAACACGUUAAAACGCAAAACUUUGAAACUUCGUCGCUCAAGGGCGGGCGAAUGACGGUUCUCCGUAAAAAAAAAAUAAUAAUAAUAAAAAAAAUGUUGGUGUUGCUUGAACGACAGGCAAGAGAUGGGCAAGUAACGGUUCUCUGUAAAAAAUCUAUUGGUGUUGCUCGAGCGGUUAGCUAACGAUAGGCUAGGGAAAAUGCAGCGAUUUUUCUUCCCAAUCCAUGAUUUUGAUUUUUUCAUGGCCACUUUAAAUGCAACUUCAAUACUCACUAGAAUUUGGGUACUUUACAACAAUACUAAUAAUGCUAGCUAGUACUAACUGUUUGAGAAAUCCAGCCUCUCGUUAACUAAUUUUUUAUGUGCCAAAUAUCGUAUACAGUUAUAAAUUAUCAAAAUUAUUAUAUGUGCAUAAUAAUGAGCAAAUCAUAACUUACUGAUAUUCAAAAAAUGUAUAUAGAAAUUAGAACGAGUAAAUAAAGCAAGGUAUAUGACUGCAAACAUCCUUAAGACAAAUUUAUCUCCUUACAUCGGUGCUAAUUUGAUGAAAUGGAUGUAUGUCUUUUAAUAUAUAACGCUUUUUCCAAAAUUAAUAUGACACAAUAUAAUUUUUAUUGAGUGAACCAAAAUUUGACUGUACUUUUCAUUGACAGAUUAGACCCAAACUAAAAUUUCUCGGACGAAAAUUUUUAUUUAAAAAAUAAAAAGAACAGAAUAUUUUGAAGAAAGAAGAGAAUUAGAAAUUAAUUUUUCUUAAAUUGGUUUGAUAUAAGAUAUUUGAAUUGGGGAUUCCUACAUUUAUAUUUUCAAGCAUCUUUUCAAAAAUGAUUGCAUCUUUUGACCAAAAAUUAAAAAUAAAAAUCAUUAGGGCAAUCAAAUCGCACCAAUUUCAUAUUUAGUGGUCUAGACAUCACAUUAUAUAAUUUUUCUCCGAUUGAGGCAUCUUCACUCCAGAACCUUGUUAGUUCAUAAUAAUAUAUCUUCUUAAAAUCCACUUGAAUGAACCUUUUGAAUAUAUGAACUUUGGCAAUUAUAUGUAUAGAAACAUUAUCUUUUAAAUAAAGGCAAAUAUUAACAAUUAUGCAGGAAAGCACAAAAUGUAAUUAGUAGAACAGAAAUUGAUUGAAAAUACAAUUUUGUUUCUUGUAAGUACUCAUAAUGUUAUUUUAAAAAUCCCAAUUAGAAUUGCUGCACCUUUAAUAAUUCUAAUUAGAAUCUAAACAAAUUCAAAGUGGAGUCAUGUUUACGUACCACCAAAAUACACGGUUCAUUCUCAUCAGAUUUCAUUGCCGACCAGUGGCAAAGCCACUAGUUCUGUUAGUCCUAUAUUAAAACAGAAUUUUAACAUUGAAACAGAAUAUAAAAAAGUGUUGGAAGUGGUUGACUGGUUGUUCAAAAUCAACCAUAUAUGGAAUAAACGGAAAAAAAAAAAAAAAAAAGGCUACCAUAGUUUUUUAACUUAAACCAUGUGACCGCAUUGGCAUAAUGCCCAUGCGGUCGCAUGGGUACUUACCGAAACUUGGAGGCCCUUGUGCAACUGAACAAUGCGAUUACAUGGUUUUGUACUAUGUUGUCGCAUGGUAUAACAAGGUGACCGUUGGUGGCAGUUUCUUAAAGUUUCUGAAUGUUGGAAACUCGAAUUUGAUGGCCUUUCAUGUAUAAUUUGGCACCAUUUUGUGUAUGUAGAUGAGGUCUAUAUAUAGUGGAGCAAUGUUCAAGCCAAUAUAAGAUAGAAAAAUGUCUUGAGAUUUAUUCCAAUUCACAUAAAAGAUCAUAUCCCUUUUUUCCUCUCAUAUUUAUUUAUUUAUUGUGUUCUACAAGUUUUGGCAGAAAAUUUCUUGUGCUUUAUUAUUUUCUGCAUUAAGGCUUGUUAUAAUCUUUCAAACCAUUUGUCGGAAUACCUUUAAACAUCUUGAAAACACCGGAGAAGGGACAAAUAAUGUGGAUGGAAAUCAAGAGAUUCAAAUGGGCAACAGUUCGAUCCCAAGGUUAUUGAAAGGGGAAAUGUUGAUAUCAUCUUCACUUUCGGAAACAUCGUUACCCUCAAAAAUUUACUACAUGUUCCGGAUAUGAAUAGGAAUUUGGUUAGAGGAAAUCUCUUAGGAAAAUCGGGCAUUAAAAGUGUCUUUGAGCCUAUAAAAUUGUAUUGUCCCUAAACGAAAAAUUUGUUGGAAAAGACUAUUAUAGUGAAUGAAUGGUCAAACUUUGUACCAUUGACAAUGAAAUAAAUAAAACUGAUUUUGCUUAUAUUGUUGAUUUAUUUUCAUUAUGACAUGUUAGAUUAGGACAUAUUAGCAAAAGUACUAUAAAAUGUAUGAAAAAAUGUGACCUGAUUUCAUAUGAUAAAAAUAAUGAAUAUAAAUACAAAACAUGUGUAGAAUCUAAAAUGAUUAAAAAAUCAUAUCAAAGUGUGAAAAUGACCUCUAGUAUCUUAGAAUUAAUUCAUACAUUUAUAUGCUUGUAUGUUGAUGACAUGUUGAUUAUAAGUAAUCAUAUGGACGGUAUAGAAGAAACGAAGAAGUUUCUAUCUUUCACAUUCAAGAUGAAAAAUCUAGACAGGUGGAUGUCAUUUUAGGUAUCAAAGUCACAAAAACUACUGGGGAUUACCAUCUAAGUCAAUCACAUUAUAUCGAGAAUGUGAUAAAUAAGUUCAAACAUUUGAACAUAAAAUAAUAUAGUACCCCGAUUGAUCCAAGUUCAAAACUUGAAAGAAUGUUGGAAGAGUGAUUGCUAAACUUGAAUGUGCUAGUGCUAUAGAAAGUCUCACGUAUGCAAUUCAAUGCACAAGGCCGGAUAUAGCCUAUGUAAUAAGUAAACUUAUUAGAUUUACUAGCAAUCUAAGCAAUGAUCAUUGGAAGGUCAUUGGGAAAAUUCUUAGAUACUUAAAGAAAAUCAAGAAUUUAGGCCUUCAAUAUACUAAGUUCCCGACAAUAUUAGAAGGAUUUACCGAUACUAGUUGGAUAUCUAGCACGAGUGAAAUUGAAUCCACCUCGGGCUGGGUGUUUACUCUUGGAGGAGGUGCUAUUUCUUGGAAAUCAAAAAAAAAAAAUAUGCAUAACACACUCGACUAUGUAAUUAGAAUUUAUAACCCUCUAUAGGAAAAGAGGUUGAGUGGCUUAAGGAUCUCUUUUAUGAGCUAUCUUUGGGAUCGAAAAAUAUUUCUUUAAUACCUAUCAUGUGUGAUAGUCAAAGCACAUUAGCAAAAGCAUACAAUGAGGUCAAUUGAUAAUUUGACGGAUCCUUUGACUAAACCUCUAAAUAGAGAUUUAGUAGCAUCUAUUUCAAGUAGGAUGGGGUUAAAACUCCUUAACUAAAAAGGUCUACCAGCAACCCUCCUGUCAUUAGUGAAAAGGUAAUCCAUAGGUUUAAAGGGUAACAACAAGUCAUUCAAUAUGUGGGUAGUUACAACAUUAUUCAAAUCAACAAUGAUCAUAUCCUAAUUAAAAUAAUGCUGGUUAUUACUGAAAUGAGAGUUGAGCGUUAAGCUCUUAAUGAAGUUCAGUGCUAAAACACAAGUAUUUGUAAAAGUAACAAAGGUACUGGAAGAACUUUACGGAAACAAACUUCGAGGUGGUGCUGCCUCAAUAGAAAGUUGAAGUUUCUCUCUUAAAAGUUUGUUUAAUAGAAUGAGCGCAAGAUCAUAAAAGCGCUAAGCGAGUAAUGAGGAAUUUGAGAACACGUGGUAUUCGUGUGUGUGUUCUUGCUAGUAUUGUCACAUGGAAUACUUGGUUCAAAGCUUCACGCUACCUUGGAUUUCGACUUUACAUUGUUUGAAUUACACUAUGGUUUGAUUCAAAUCGAAAGAUAUCUAAUCUUUAUGCAUGAGUAUUGUAUAAUUUUGAAUAUGAGAACUUGUUAAUUUUGAACAAGUGGGGGAUUGCUGAAGUGUUUGUUCAAAAUCAACCAUAUGUGGAAUAAACGGACAAAAAAAGGCUACCAUAGUUUUUUAACUUAAACCAUGCGACUGCAUAGGCAUAAUGCCCAUGCAGUCGUAUGGGUACUUACCGAAACUUGGAGGCCCUUAUGUGGCUGAACCAUGCGACCACAUGGCUUUGUACCAUGCGAUCGCAUCGUAUAAACAAGGUGAUCGUUGGUGGCAGUUUCUUAAAGUUUCUAAACGUUGAAAACUCGAAUUUGGUGGCCUUUCAUGCAUAAUUAGACACCAUUUCGUGUAUGUAGAUGAUGUUUAUAUAUAGUGGAGCAAUUUUCAAGCCAAUAUAAGAUAGAAAAAACAUCUUAAGAUUUAUUCCAAUUCACAUAAAAGAUCAUAUCCCCUUUUUCCUCUCAUAUUUAUUUUAUUUAAUGUGUUCUACAAGUUUUGAUAGAAAAUUUCUUGUGCUUUAUUAUUUUCUGCAUCAAAACUUGUUAUAAUCCCUCAAACCAUUUGUCGAAAUACCUUUAAGCAUCUCGAAAACAUCGGAGAAGAUGCAAAUAAUGUUUGAGGACAGCAAUCACGCGUUCAAGCCUUCAAAAAUUUUCUUAAUAAUUUCCUAAUUCUUAAUCUUGUUUGCAACAAUUUUUGCGUUAUAUCUUUUAUUUCUUCUCCACCAGUUCCAUAUUUACAACAAAAAGCACAAUAAAAAAUCUGCCUCAAGAUUGUUGAAAAAAAUUGGCACACAAAAUUAUAUUCUGUUUACUAAAACCACUAUAUCCCUCCAUUUCAAAUAGGAUCAUGAUCUAAUGGUCUAGAUCGCACCCUAUCAAAAGGUCGCGACUCUUCAUUAUAAACAUUUUACACUUGAAAAGUCGCACCUAUUAAAAACUUAUUCCAGUUCACAUGUUUUCAUCUACCCAUACAUACCAACGCUAACAAAUUGUAAAGGAGUGAGAAGACAAGACAACUUUUUUACAUAUCAGUUUGAGGAAGUGUUUGUGCAAACAACUGAGGGUUAUGCUUCUGGUAUAGUUGGUUACCAAUGCGGUGCUGGAGGGCAUUGCAGAUGUGAUAUUUGAAGACAAGAAGGUGACCAAAAAAAAAAAACAGUGAGACAUUAUUCCAUCAAGUUGCAAGGAAGAUACGGUUGAAAAGGAUGACAAGCACUGGUCGGGAAUCGAGUAUAGGAUUUCUAUUCUAAGUAUUGAGUAUCGACACACAAAGAUUGGAUCCUACUCGUGCCACAGAAAAUAUCAUCAGGACACAAAAAAGGGGAAGCAAAUAUUGAGUGGACUAAUUUUCCCUUCAUUAAAAGUCGUGUUCGUGAGGUGACUUGACAUAAUGCAUGUUUUGGAUGGUAUCCGUUUUAAUCUAAUAAUUUCAUAGAGGUUGGAGACAAAAACCAAAGAAAUGCAAUUCAUUCUUCUAUCUAGUUUAUCGGAUCGAAGAUGCGGAUAUACCUAAUAAUUGUUUGUUUGUUGGAUAGAAUAGAAUAGAAUAUAUCUGAAGAAAAAAUAUAUGUAUAAAUAAUUUAUAAUUUACUUUUCAAAAUCAAAUAUUAAUUUUAACAACAUAUUUAUCCCCUAUUUGGUGAUCAUUAUUGUAUAGAAAUAAUGUUUUGAAUAGUGAUUUUUUAAAAUUUUUUUUAGGAACGCAUGAUUAAAUAGUGAGAAAAUAUUUUAGAUUUACAUGCAAAAAUAUGUUAUUGUGUGAAUAUAUUAUUAGAAAUGAGUAUGAGAUAUAAUUUAUUUUAUUUUAGAGGGAGUCAAACAAUGGAUUAGCAGCACCUACAAGGCUACAACCAAUAUUCUGAAAUACAUAAUGUGUGACAAUACGUUUUGAUCAAGUAUCAAGUAUUGCAAAAAUAUACGUGUUUAUGCAAAGCAUAUAAGUAAUUAAACAUUUAUCAAUUUUUUUAAUAUUAUUUUAAAUAUUCUAAACCAAUAAAUAUAAAAAUAAUGCAAUUUUUAAGCUUUAUAUGUAUUUUUCAAAUUUGUAAUAUAUAUACACACACACACAAAAUUACUUAUUCUUCAAUUUUUUAACAAAAACAUAAUGUUUAAUAUCAUAUGUACUAUAAUUCUUUGGUAAUCAAUUCUUAUGAUUAGAUUAGACACGAACAUCGACUGAUAAAAAAAAAAAUACAUAUUUGCUAACUCUUUAUCGAAUUCCAAUUCAAACUUCUCUUCAUCCAAAUAAUCUUUUAUGUCAUCUGAUGCAAAAUUAUUUUCAUCGGGCUCCCUCAUUCAACUUGUGAUUUUUAAUACAUUUUAAGAUGGUAGGAUAUGUAUCGUUUAUGUAUCGUUGUUAACCUCGUCCUUCUCAUCACAACCAUCAACAAUCAUUCAUUACUAGCAUCACUUUCUUGUGAGACUAAAGAAAGACCAAAGGAGGAGGAUCGGUUCAGCAUAGAUAGUUUAUAAAUCUAUGAAAAAUUUAUUAUGAUUUAAAUUUUUUUUUUUUCUAAAUAUCAAAAUCCUACAUAUUGUUGUACAUAAUUAAAGGGCUUUGGUGAUUUGGUCUAAUUUAAUGUUUAUUGUGCUCAAUUUGCUUUUCUGAAGUUAUAAAAAUGCGUUAAAUUUUGUUAGGCUAAUUUUGAUACGAUUUUUAACACAAAAUGCGUGCGUAGUUUGAGGUUUAAGCGUGUAUAUGCGGUCAAGAAAAUGAGUUGACUGAUUUAUCACGUGCAUACUCCAUAUGCGAGGGAUUUCGAAAAAGUAUCGAACUUAUGCAAGUAUAUGUGAAAUAUAUGUGCAAAUUUUAGAACACUACCUACAACUACUAAUAUAUUUAUUCACCAUUUUUUUUUUACAUUAUAAUUUUAGUAACUUAUAAUUUCAUCCAAACAUAAGCAAAAUAUUUGUUCUUUAUAACAUCAAAGUGAUUUGCUGAAUUUCAUUUGAUAUUAACAAAAAAAUUAGUGAUUGUUUAGUUGUGAUUUUGUUAAUUGAUUUUUUGAUCGUUAGAGCGAGAAGAAUUCAAAAAUAAUAAUUGGAAUAGUGAAAUAACGAUCAAAAAAUUAAUUUUAAUUGACGUUUAAACUGUACCAAACAAUCUCUUAAUAUUUUGACGCAAGAUGACAUUGGAUACUAGGGAUAAUAAACAUAUUUUGUGGGAUCUGGGAAACUGGGUAAGAAGGACCUUAUGGGGCUCACCUGGAAUUUUAGUACAUGCAUUUGCACCGACUUUUAAGAUUCCUUUGAUAUGACUGCAGAAAAAUCAAAAUAAGUUUAUGAAUACUAAGUUACUUUUAUAUUUAUUUGAUUAAUUUUGUAACAGCAAUUCUUUUAAUUAAAAUAAUUUUUAGAAAAAAAUAGGCACAAUAUAUCUUCCUCUAAAGUUCUUCUUAAAAAAAAAAAAAAAAAAUUCUUUUGGAAGUUUAUUUUCAACCUUUGGAAUGAUGUCAAGCAAAAGAAAAAGUAAAAAUCUUGUUAAAUGGAUCCUAAUUGUCUGCUAAGGAAGUUCAUAAUGCAAAAUGAUGACAACAUUAUAACAUAAAAAAAAUAGUUACUAUUUCAUUUUUAAUACUAUUAAAUAUACUGUAAAUGAGUGUGUAACACAUUGAAUUAUUUAAAAAUAUGAUGGAAGGUGUUUUUUAAAAUUUUAAAUAAUAAAUAAAUAAAUAUGAGUGAUGAAUAAGUGAAUGAAUUCCUCAAAAUAUAUGAAUAAAAAAGGACUUAUACAAUUAUAAACAAUUUAUAAAUAUUAACCAAAUUUGGAUUAAUGUUAUCAAUCGGCAUGAAUCACAGGCAUGAAGAUGGUUCCAAGAAAAUAAUGGAUAAAGUUUCCAAUUUCCAUUUUCUUGACGUAAGUGUGCGGUCCACACUCCAUCCAGAGAGAUCUUUUGUCUUUUCUAUGAAAACGACUCGCAAGUUGCCACGGUUCAUUAAUGAUUUUAGCACUGCAAAGAUGAUGAUAACUAUUGGUUAUAUUGAAUGGUCUGUGCUCUCUGUAUCUAUUUUUACCUCGAUAGGGUUAAAAAUGUUGAAGGUUAUUUUAGUUUUAAAGGUGUUUUUCUGUCGUCGUUGAACUUCAAAUAGUUUCGAUUACUAUAAUUCGAACCUUAGAUGUCACAUUUGUCAUUUCGUCUGUUGUUCAGAAGUUCAUGAUUUUAACGAUGUGACAAAUGAAAUUGUUAAUUUUUCAAACGAUGUUUAAUGACAAAUGAAAGAAUGAUGUUAGAGUACAGCGACAACAAAGAAACGAUCUGGAAAUUACGGUGGAAAUAAUUUUGAAGUUCUUGGGAAGAAUGAUUUUGAAAUUAUAGUAAAUCAAUGACAAUUAUUCAAUACAUUGUAGAGGACUUAGUAUAACUUAAAAAGUAAAUCCCGUAGGAAUCUGGGCCGUGUCUCCCAGUGUAGUUAAUCAUCCUCUCGAAUCAACUACUGAUCAUUGCCUUUGGUAAAUUAUUGCCUCAUCAACUAGCAAUCAGACGCAAGUCAACGAACAAAUAUAUCAAAGGUGAGUUCGCAAUGGACAGUGAGAGUCGGCACCAUAAUAAAAGAAUAGUCAGUUCCUAAUACGCUUAGCUGUAUCAGAUGUGCGAGGUGCGUGUUGAUCCGAUAAUUGGUUCUCGAUCGAGAGACAAUGGAGUGGCAAAUGAAUUAUUGGCCCAUUGGAAGAGCCAAGCAGUAAGUUGAGAUAUAGCAGCUGUAGUAAUUAAUAAUAAUAAGGAGCCUCCAGGGCAUAUCUCCCAGUGGCAAAGGAGAGGGCGGAUAGGGCUGAGCGCGACAGUGUGCAGAGUUCGAUUCCCCACAAAGUGGAAUUAACUUUGUUGCAAGCGGGAGUUACCAUAUGGGUUAACAGGCUUGGCCUAUUCACGUGCUCUCCACCCUGGCUCCUGGGAGGUACAUCCUGCGAUUUACCUCCUCCACGAUGGCCCAAGGCAAGAUCGGUGGGGGCCCUUAAGGUUAGGGUUCAACCUUUUUUUUUUUUAAUAAUAAUAAGGUAAUAAAAGUACAAAUCUGUCCCGACUGGUGUCGGCCACUGGGAAUUUGCUGGUUUUAAACAAAGUACUGGGGACCAGUUUGUUAAGGUAAAAUAAAAAUUUCAAAGAAAAAAUUGGGCAAGGAUUCACAGAUUGAAUUGUAAAUCAAAAUUUCAAGUAAAAUUUGUUGUUGGCACUAUCCUGGAUAAGAAACGCAGUUUCAGUCCCAUGAAUGAUAUGUGGGGUCUCAGAAAUGGAACUGGAUAAGAACUAGGUUAUCCAUACGCAUGCCUACGUUGGACUCCAACUGUCACAUGGGUCAAGUGACCACAAUUUUUUGAUUUACGGGAUGUCAAUUGAAAUUGAAACCUUACAUUUUUUAGUACCAUUUCGAAGUAUUUACGAUCUAAUUUUUUGUUCGUUAAUGGCGUACAAAACAAUCAAUUGUAGCAAAAUUUACGGCGUGUCAAAAUAUGCUACUUCAAACUAGUAUUUCAAGAAUUUCGAAAAUAUGCUAACUUUAAAAAUUUGUCGACGAUCGUACAUUAGUCAAUUCCACAAAAAUCGUCCAUGUCAUUUAGAAACUCAUUUCAAGAACUAUAUCCUAAUCACAUUGAAUGAUCCAAACGAAUAUAAAAAUAGUUAAACGUCUAACUCGUAUUUUUUUUUUAAAUUUUUGCACAACAAAUUCGUCAAUAUAAUUUGCAUCAUUUUAUUAGAAAAUUUUACAUGGAGUAUGAUGUUAAAAUUUUAGGAUUGUUACAUGUUAAAUGUAAUUUGAAUUACUUUCGAAUUACAUUUACAUUUCAUUUACUUCCUAAAUUAAAUUUGAAAUUGAUUCCAAUUCAUUUACUUCCUACAUUCAAUUUAAUUUACUUGCCCUCAACUCAAAAUUUCUCAAUGAGGUGGCAAACAAAACUAUACAAAUAGUAAAAUUCAUUUGAUAAUAUUAAUAAUGAUAUUAUUAUGCGAUAUUUUCAAAUUAUCAAACUGUAUAGGAUACAAUUGUAAUAGUUUGUUGACUUUUUUUACAUUAGUAAUUAUGUUUAUAAAAAAAUUACAUCUUAAUUUUUGACCUGACAAUAUAAAAAGUCUAAGUUCACCCUUGCCGCAAAGUCGUGCAUUUUUGCUUCGUGUUAUCUAAGUUAAGCAAGGUCCAUUUCAUAAGACUUUUGAAAAGUUAAAAAGUUCUUUUAACAUUAAGAAACUACUUUUGAAUAUGUUUGAACCCUAAAAGUGUUUUGUUUGAAGUUGCUCAAGAAACUUUUAUACAAAAAGUAAAGCAAAAAAACAGAAGUGCAAUCAAAUGAAUUCAAUUUUUUUAACCGUCCAUUCACACAGCACCGCAUGUAUUUUGUAGAAAAAACUUGUGAAACUAUUCCGUACUUGUAGCAUAAUUUUAGUCAGAGACGGAUUUAGGGGAAGCGGGGAGGGCUCCCCAGCCCACUCAGGCCAAGAGUUUUUUUUAAAGGUAUUUUUUAUUUUUAUUUUAAUAAAAAAUCAGUUUUUAUGUGUAAAAAAAAAUUUUCUCGCGUAGUAACCCGAUCUUAGAUCCAAUUCUAGAUCCGUCCUUGAUUCCAGUCUAAUGGUCAAAUUUAAUAUUGUAUUAUUUUAUUCUUUAUGCUAAAAAUACCAUAAAACACUUUACUGAUUCAAACUGUGAAUAGCUAAAAUGCAUAUGUGGAGCAGGAAGUGAUUGGUAAUAUAUUUAAUUAGUAAGAACAGAAAAGAUGGAAUAUACAUUGGCAAAAACUAAAAUAAAAAGCAUAAAUUAUCCUAUUGUAAUUAAUUAAAUCUAAGAUAAAAAAUAAAAAUAAAAAUGGGAUUUCAUCUUCGACUACGCAUUCGAGCACCCCAUGUCAUUCUUCCUCCUGAAUCCCUUUUUCUUUGCUUCAAUUCAUUCAAUUGAGAUUGCCACCUCAUUUUCCACUCUCCAUUUCUCUGUUUCAGAUGGAAAAAUAAUAAUUAAAAAAGAAAUCCAGUAUAUUUCUUUCACAAGAUUCAUAACUUCUGAAUUAAUAAGAAAAAUUAGUUACCUGGUUAAACUCAUAUCCUCUUCCAGCAGAGAAAUUAAAGCCCAAUCCAUUAGCUAAAUCUUGAUCGUACAACGCUCUGGUGUGUGGAUCAGAAAGGGUUUCAUAAGCCUCCUUAACCAGUAUAAAUCUCCUGGUGUUUUCAUCGACACGGUCUGGUGGAGACACAUCAGGAUGAUAUUUUCUUGCCAGUUGUUUAUAAGCUUUCUUUAUAUCAGAAAUUGUCCCACUUUCUUCAAUUCCCAACACAUCAUAAAAACUGUUUGGAGCAUGAAAUGCCUUCAAACUGGCUCUGCACCCUCUGUUUCUGGGUAGCCCAGAUGGAGUUUUGAACUGAAUCCUGGAAUUUGUCAACUGGGAACUGAAGGAAAUGCUUGAAAAACUUCCAGGGG